rnacentral:rRNA from 1 species
GGGUUGUGAGGUUAAGCGACUAAGCGUACACGGUGGAUGCCCUGGCAGUCAGAGGCGAUGAAGGACGUGCUAAUCUGCGAUAAGCGUCGGUAAGGUGAUAUGAACCGUUAUAACCGGCGAUUUCCGAAUGGGGAAACCCAGUGUGAUUCGUCACACUAUCAUUAACUGAAUCCAUAGGUUAAUGAGGCGAACCGGGGGAACUGAAACAUCUAAGUACCCCGAGGAAAAGAAAUCAACCGAGAUUCCCCCAGUAGCGGCGAGCGAACGGGGAGCAGCCCAGAGCCUGAAUCAGUGUGUGUGUUAGUGGAAGCGUCUGGAAAGGCGCGCGAUACAGGGUGACAGCCCCGUACACAAAAAUGCACAUACUGUGAGCUCGAUGAGUAGGGCGGGACACGUGGUAUCCUGUCUGAAUAUGGGGGGACCAUCCUCCAAGGCUAAAUACUCCUGACUGACCGAUAGUGAACCAGUACCGUGAGGGAAAGGCGAAAAGAACCCCGGCGAGGGGAGUGAAAAAGAACCUGAAACCGUGUACGUACAAGCAGUGGGAGCACGCUUAGGCGUGUGACUGCGUACCUUUUGUAUAAUGGGUCAGCGACUUAUAUUCUGUAGCAAGGUUAACCGAAUAGGGGAGCCGAAGGGAAACCGAGUCUUAACUGGGCGUUAAGUUGCAGGGUAUAGACCCGAAACCCGGUGAUCUAGCCAUGGGCAGGUUGAAGGUUGGGUAACACUAACUGGAGGACCGAACCGACUAAUGUUGAAAAAUUAGCGGAUGACUUGUGGCUGGGGGUGAAAGGCCAAUCAAACCGGGAGAUAGCUGGUUCUCCCCGAAAGCUAUUUAGGUAGCGCCUCGUGAAUUCAUCUCCGGGGGUAGAGCACUGUUUCGGCAAGGGGGUCAUCCCGACUUACCAACCCGAUGCAAACUGCGAAUACCGGAGAAUGUUAUCACGGGAGACACACGGCGGGUGCUAACGUCCGUCGUGAAGAGGGAAACAACCCAGACCGCCAGCUAAGGUCCCAAAGUCAUGGUUAAGUGGGAAACGAUGUGGGAAGGCCCAGACAGCCAGGAUGUUGGCUUAGAAGCAGCCAUCAUUUAAAGAAAGCGUAAUAGCUCACUGGUCGAGUCGGCCUGCGCGGAAGAUGUAACGGGGCUAAACCAUGCACCGAAGCUGCGGCAGCGACGCUGAUGCGUUGUUGGGUAGGGGAGCGUUCUGUAAGCCUGUGAAGGUGUGCUGUGAGGCAUGCUGGAGGUAUCAGAAGUGCGAAUGCUGACAUAAGUAACGAUAAAGCGGGUGAAAAGCCCGCUCGCCGGAAGACCAAGGGUUCCUGUCCAACGUUAAUCGGGGCAGGGUGAGUCGACCCCUAAGGCGAGGCCGAAAGGCGUAGUCGAUGGGAAACAGGUUAAUAUUCCUGUACUUGGUGUUACUGCGAAGGGGGGACGGAGAAGGCUAUGUUGGCCGGGCGACGGUUGUCCCGGUUUAAGCGUGUAGGCUGGUUUUCCAGGCAAAUCCGGAAAAUCAAGGCUGAGGCGUGAUGACGAGGCACUACGGUGCUGAAGCAACAAAUGCCCUGCUUCCAGGAAAAGCCUCUAAGCAUCAGGUAACAUCAAAUCGUACCCCAAACCGACACAGGUGGUCAGGUAGAGAAUACCAAGGCGCUUGAGAGAACUCGGGUGAAGGAACUAGGCAAAAUGGUGCCGUAACUUCGGGAGAAGGCACGCUGAUAUGUAGGUGAAGCGACUUGCUCGUGGAGCUGAAAUCAGUCGAAGAUACCAGCUGGCUGCAACUGUUUAUUAAAAACACAGCACUGUGCAAACACGAAAGUGGACGUAUACGGUGUGACGCCUGCCCGGUGCCGGAAGGUUAAUUGAUGGGGUCAGCGCAAGCGAAGCUCUUGAUCGAAGCCCCGGUAAACGGCGGCCGUAACUAUAACGGUCCUAAGGUAGCGAAAUUCCUUGUCGGGUAAGUUCCGACC